rnacentral:misc_RNA from 1 species
GCGCCCGGAUGACCGGCAAGUUCCCUGACGGCAUCGGAAAAUCGGAUCAGGAUCAUGACCGAGCCCCGGUCGGUCGUCACUCUCACAUAGUGGUCCUGCAUCGAAAGCGAGAUGAUCUGCCGCCCCAUCUCCCGAGGCAACCGGUGGAGAAAGCGAAUAUCGGGGGCAUCAGUUUCCGACCCGACAGGAAGUCUCGGCGGGCGCGAUCCAAAGUUCGCGUAGUGGAAGACGGAGAGGGGGAAGCCGACGGCGGCCACGCACACCCAGAACCAGAGAUAGUGAUCGAAGACCGCAUUGUUGUGCCGCAUGAUCCUUUCGAGCACCUCGACCAGCGCCGCACCAGGAAAGGCUGCCAGCAUCGACCCCAACGCUAUCCGGGGUAGGCACGGCCAGUCCGCCAGCCAGGGUGCCGCUAAUGCCGCGCCGACCACGACAUGCAUCAGCAAACCGCAAACCGCCAGCCGCGAUUGUCCAGUAAGCGAGCCGAAGCGGGGCAGGAAGAUCGA